UCGAACUCACAGAGAUCCGCCUGCCUCUGCCUCCCGAGUGCUGGGAUUAAAGGUGUACACCACCAAUGCCCGACUAGGGUAGGUCCUUAAAGGUUGUGUGCUCCCCCAGCUCUGGUUCUCAUCUCUCUGCUUUUUGGUCUAUAAUCAUGAGAUGCUUUCAUAUGCUCCUGCUACCACAUAAUGAAGACCCACUGUCAUGCCUUCCCUGUCACAACUGGCUUAAAAUCCCUCUGAGCCAGGAGCCAGAAUAGAUCUUAUCUCUUUCAAGUUGUUCUUGUCAGAUAUGUGGUCACAGCAAUGCAAAAGUAACAUUACAGGAAUCUUCUGAGGACAAGCGACUGUAACAGGUUCCAGCCUUUACUGCGUGAAUCCUGCUACCCAGCAAGGGUUUCUCCCCACCCUGUGAACAAGGGAGUUUCUUACAGACCACGCGGAAUGACUCAUCAUUUCUGAGCUUUCAGACUAAGGCUGAAUCUAUUGCUCUGGGCUGGAGACAAGAAGGAAUGUUAUGACAGUGGACACUUGUGACAAAGAUGCUUAUCUCCUGACAGCAAAGAAAUGAGGAGGGAAGCAGGGACUUGGCAUAACCUUCAAAGACCCAUUCCCAGCCAUCAUCUUCUUCUAGAGACUGACGAGGAGGACUAUGACUUUGAGGUCACUCUGGACUACAUAGUGAGACCCUGACUCAAAAACAAGAAAAAGAUGAGUUGGACUCAAAACGGGUUGAAAACUUAAAUGUGAAAUCUGGAGCUUCCAGAAGGAAAAACAGGGGAAAUCCUUUACAGAAGGGACAAAGUUCUUGGAAGACUCCCCAAAACACCUGAAACAAGAACAGCACCAAUAAGACUAUGUUAACCUACAAACCUCUUUCUCAACAAAGUAGAUGGUGAUCCGAGUGAAGAGACAGUAGACGGAGAGGAAGACAUUGUCAAAGUACACAUGUGACAAGAGGUCAGCAUUCAGAAGGCACAAGGAACCCCAAAGACUCAGCAAAGUGAACUGAAUCACCCAGCAGAAAGGUGGGCAGUAGACCUACAUAGGCAUUAAUUACCCCAAGGAAGGCUACAAAUGACUAAUGGGCCAUUUAAAAAAAUAUUCAACUCACCAAACCUCAGGAAAAUGUAAAUCAAAGCCACAAGGAGAUAUGCCCUUCAAAUAAGAAUGACAAUCACAUCCCAAAGACCCAAGAUAGUGAUGGCAGGAGUGGAGAAAUGGGGAUGCGUGCACACUGUGCACACAGCAUGCUUGUGUGUGUGUGUGUGUCUAAGUUAGUACAGAGAUGGAAAUGUAUUUCAGACCCGAAAAAUAAGUGAUUAAGAAUAAAAUUUCUAUAUGAUCCAGAAA